UGGGUGGGGCCAAGCUGGUCGCCUAGGUGACCAUCAGGGGCGCGCAACGUCGUUGCCCGCGGGCUUUGUUUGGCCUCCGAGCGCGCAGGCUCUUUCGGGUGCGCGGGCGCCACCCCUGCCCAGGUCGGGGCUGCCUAGAGCCGCGGGUGCCGAGUCCGCCUACAAGCAGUGUGGCCAGGAGCGCCGGGCGGACGCCCUUCUCCUGAGAAGUGGUGAUAGCCACACGCGACAGUCGCCACCGCCCAGCCACUAGGCUCGGGGCUCUGUGAAUCGGUGCCCCAGAGCGGUACUCGCAGCGUUCUUGUGAAGAUUCCCGGCGGGUGCCGGAAACCGGACCGCGCAGUAAGAAGAGGAGAUGUCUCUGGUGGGGCUUUUGCUCUUGUGGGAUUACUUUUCUAGUAGUGCCUCAUGAGGAGUUCUCUGUGACAGUUGACUGAGCAAGAAAAACUCAAGCCUAGUUUUACAGAUGUUUUUGUGUGAUAUGUGGGCAAUAACCUCAAGUGGACAACUGCCACACUAUAUAUAGCUGCUCUCUGUGACAGCCACUGAAAGAAAGAGGUGAAGGGAAAUCCUCCAAGUGGGUGAAACUCCAAGCAGUGCACCUGGUUGUUUAUUUUGCUUGGAAGGAGAAAUGGCCAUUUGUGUGAUUAUACACUGACUCAUGGGCUAUGGCAAAUGGUUUGGCUGGAUGGUCAGGGACUUAGGAGGAAAAUGGUUAGGAAAGUGGUAACAAGGAAGUCUGCAGAAGAGGAAUGAGAAUGUGAAGUGUGAAGAUAUUUGUGUCCCAUGUAAAUUCUCACCAAAGGGUGAUCGUGGCAGAAGAAUACUUAAAUGAUCAAGUGGAUAGAAUGACAUAUUCUGUGGAUACCAGUCAGCCUCUUUCCCCAGCCAUUCCUGUCAUUGCCCAAUGGACUUAUGAGCAAAGUGGCCAUGGAGGCAAGAGCUGAGGUUAAACAUGGGCUUGGCAAAAUGGAAGAACACUCGUCAAUGCCAGCCUAGCUAUAGGCACUGCUCAAUGACCAAAUUGCCAGAAGCAGAGACCAAUAUUGAGCCCUCGUUAUGGCAUCAUCAUUCCUUGGGUUAUCAGCUGAUUACGUGUUGGCAGGUUGAUUACAUCGGACAACUUUCAUCAUGGAAAGUAUAGCACUUUGUCAUUACUAAAAUAUAA